GUCAAAGGGAUGGUAGGCAUUUUCACCAUGUGUGAGCACGUGGUUAUAGUAUACGGAUUCCGUUUCCCUUUGGUAUUGUAUCUACAGUCUCAAUGGAAUGCAGAGUCCACUCAUAGAUAUAGGACUGUUGUGGACUGCAGUGAAGAAGUGAAAUCAAUCCCCUCUCUGCUCUCCAUUUAGUGCCCACCUCUUAUGAAAUUUGAUUGUCAACUGGACUACAAUUAGUAGACUCUACAGACACACAAUGACACAAAGAAACA